UCUUUACAUUAUAUUAUAUCGAAAGAAAGGGUUAUAAGAUUUUUUUUUCUUUAGGGGGGCUUAACCAUUACAGAAGUUUUACAUACUUUUUUAAUCUUUUUAUUAUUAUUAUUAUUAUUAGCCUAAUAUAAGACAUGCUUGGACACACAUACAAUAUGUUCUUAAGUGUUUGUGCUUAUUUAAUAAGUUUAUUUGACUAAAAAUGUGAUCUCAUGUUUCCAUGGCGCGCAGAAACCGAGAUGAACCGCUUCGGUUUGGAGCUGUGAAACAGAAACAGAAAAUCGUGCCGUCGAUUUCCGUGCACAAACCUAGUUUCCCAACAGAGGGAACGUGAAGUGAAAGACAGGAAGAGAAGAAGAAACAUGAUGUACUGAUUAGAGCUCUCAAAGAAGAUAAAAGCAGCUCAGAGUUCUUUUGUUCACGACGAGAUGCCGUGUGCGCGCGCAUUUGCUUUCGUUUAAACGCAUUGUUUAACCACAAAGGCGCAGAGCUCUUUGUUUGUGUGUGUUUCUCAUUACAGAUCCUCUUCAGAACUUCAGAACGCGCUCUUAACGUCUGGAUCCCUUCAGGACUGUUUCUCGUUACACGGCUCUUGUUAUAUUUCACCCUCCGCUCUGCUUCAUUAUCUGGUUGUUUGUGUUCUUCGGGGACAGACUCUUGGCCGGUAAUUGGCUCGGUUGUGACCGGACGGCACAAUGACCGCCACGCAGGCCGGCCAAUCGGAAGGCAGGAGCAGAGUUCUCAGGCAGCUGAUUGGCUGGCUCGGUCUCAGCGCGGUCUCCAGGUAGCGAGUGAACGUGGGAGAGUAUGUGGCUGUCUGCGGAGGGUGGAGUCGGAGAGAGUGAAGGAUGGAGGGCUAAUUCAGCAGCGUUCAUUAAGACUUUGGCAGUGAAUUUGGACCAAACAACCCAAAACGUAAUGUUAAGAGUCUCUCAGAACUCUCAACAACAGUUCUUGGCCUCUCUUCCUCUCACAGCAAGUUUCAGUGUCGGUUUCAGAAUGCUUUGAAUGAGUUUUACAAGAAAUAUUGCCAUAUUCUUCAGUCUUUCUGCACAGGGUAUGGAUACAAGCGGCCGAAAAGAUGGUUAUGAGACACGGUGAUGAAAAAAAUAUGAAAUGUUUCCAAUCUCUCUCUGGCUCCUGGAGCUUUGAGCUCUUUAAAGAUCACUACAGUGCCUCAGUUCAAUCGGUAUGUGAACCAAUCAUCGUUUCUUCUGUACAAGAAACACUAAAGAAACAUCUUAAGUCCCGUGUUAGAGAUGAUGAUUAUGAUGAGAGACAGAGAUGCUUUGACUCCAGCCGAUCUGAAGAUAACAGACUGACCUCAAUAAGAAAAUCUCUCCCAUUAGUUAGAUGAUCUCAGUGUUGACCUUCUUUUUUUUUUUCUUUUUUUUUACAGGAAAUAAAUGUCAGCUGAGACUUGAUUUUGUCCAUGGGGGAACUGAUGGAUGCAUCGCGAGUUCAUGUUGACUUAAAAAAUAAACUCGCUUUGGCACUGGACAAGUCUAUAUAGCUUGAGGUUAAACAUAGAGUGCAUCAAAGACAUUUAUUAAAAGAUUUUGCUCUCAAAUAAAUGCUCUCGAUCUCAACACCGAGUUUCAGCUUUACAUACUGAAUGUCAUGUCCUCUUUUGAGAUGAAAUAGAUCAAAUUAGUGUGUGUUUGUCUCAAGUUUCCCCUCAGGCUCUGUCUGCUGAUCUGACCACUGUGAACCAAGGAUUUAGUGUGUGUGUGUGUGUGUGUGUGUGUGUGUGUGUGUGUGAGAGAGAUGAUAAAUAGUAAAUGUGUCACUUUAUGUCCAUGAUGCUGUGAACUUGUUUCAGACUACAGGUCAUCUUAGCCUGAGGAUGUGACAUGUCAUGUGAGUAACCAGAGUGACUGACUGAUAAAGACACAUUGUUUCUUCUGUCCUAUAAAAGUGCCUGAAUAAUGAGGUUUCACGAGUUGGACCUUUGAAUUUAGGCAUUUUCAACAUUUUUAUUAUUUUAUUUUAUUUUGACUCGUAAUUUUGUUGUUUGAUUUAAUUCAAAAUAA